CUUCGCUAAUGUCACGGAGCUCCAAAAUGGUUUUGAAGAGCGGUAGACUCCCCAGUCCGGCUCCCAGUCCAGUGCUCUUUGCACUAAGCGCCCCCUGGUGACCACACGGCUUCCUCCUGCACCUGUGGCAGGCACAGCUGGUUAUCAUGGAAUGGGUGACUUGCUCGUGUCCUGUGUUUGGCCCAUGGUAUCCAAUGCAGAGUAGAAUGGAAGUCAUGGAGUCUUUUUCCUCUAGAAAAAAAUACACACACAUGUAUGUACCUGUAUCAACAUUAUACUUCACAUUCAUCUUCAGGGAGGGUUGUGGACAUUCUGGCACCUGUUUCAUGUGGAUCCCAAGUUUAAACUUCUACCCAGCUGGAGGAGAGAUCAAUAAAACAUUUUACGUGAGCAGCCCUGCGUCCACUGCAUAAUCUGCAUGUGACUUAGAACCAGCACCAUGGGCGAUGGAUUGGAAGAAGCCAACCAGAGAGCAUGGAAGAUGAAAGAGUUUAGACAAAGCAAUGGUUUGGUUCAUACUCCUCCAUCUCCAAAGCUGUUUGCAGGUGACAGACAAGAUGCCCAACCUACUUGUUGGACAUGGAGCAUUUUCUGCUUCACUCUCAUCUUUUGUGGGGAAGGUGCCCAAGUCCAGCUGUCAGAGAAGGCAAGGACAAGGUGGG
ensembl:lncRNA